rnacentral:lncRNA from 1 species
CUUCCUGCCCGCUCUUUUCUCUAAAGCCUGGGACCCAAGAUGUUGUCCAAGCUGGAGGCUGAAGGCUUCAGGGCAGCAGGCCACCGUCCACCAAGCCUGUAUCCCCAGAGGGCCAGAGAGAAGGCUGUAGUCUCUGUUGAGGGAUUCUAAGCCGUUCGAGCCAGCAAGGCAGCCCAGGAUCCACCAUGGUCAACUUCAGCCUGCUUUCUGGCUCAACUGCCUGAAAGGUGGCUGGGAGCUCAGCAGCCUGGGUCCUGCUCCAUAGCCUUGCUGCACAGCCCUGCUCCACACCUGUGAACCAUCGUCUGCAUUUCAGCAAAUCCCGAGUGGCCAGAUCUGCUGUAGGAAACAAGACAGUCCCAGGAAGGCAUUCUCUUUGUAAAUCCCAGGCACCAAGGAUAAUCAGAUGGCGGCUAAAGUUGGAGAUAAGAUCACAA